rnacentral:lncRNA from 1 species
GCAGUUGUCCUUCCCUCACCCGCUCUUAUGGAGGUUUUCCAUUUAGAAGGGGCUGAAGAAGUAUAGCUUAGCCAGGAGCAGAGGCCCAGAGGAACCCAGAACAGACAUCCCAGCUGGUCUCAGGGGAGGAGAUGUGUUUUUUUUUAAGGAGCCUCAGCCAUCAGAGCACUGCUGGAGUGACCUGCAGGUGAGACAUUUGCCUGCUUCCAUCCUUCUUCGGGAGUCCCAAAGCAGCCCCUUGGCAACAGGAUUACCCACAAUAAACCCACCAAACUCCCUCAGGCCUCCACCCAUCAAACCCCUUCUCCAGUGUCAGUUAUCGACACUUCAGCCCUCUGUUGAAGGGGAAUGGAAAAAAGGGUGAUGCAGGAAGGUCAUUAAAAACUUCUUUCAGACUCCACCCGCAUCUCCAUGGCCCCAAAUUAGUGUUUCAGCUGUGUACUUGGAAGUAUUGGCUUCCACAGACCAUGUCUGCCAUAAAGGCCCAUCAGCAGACAGCCAUCCUGCAGCCCUGGUCCUUCUGAGCACUGGGACAAAGACGUUUGCUGCCCCAUCCCACUGAACACAGAGAGUUCAUCCUAACUGUCCUGCUGAACUCAGCUUGGCAAAGCAGUGGGAACAGCUCCUAGUCCAACCCAGGUGAUUGGGAUAUAAACAAUUCAAGCUAAUUUAAAGGGCAGUUGACUCCAUUUCACUUGCAAAGCUUUCGUGUUUGAACUCUCCAAUUAAAAGGGAAGGAUUCAAUAUAUCAGAAUAGAAGCAGAUAUAUUUUAACAUUUCAGAUGGCAAUUAUGGGAGCUAUCAAGAGGAAGAUGUUUUAACAGAAACAUUUGGAGGCAAUGUAUCAUCAGCAUAAUGGUUUUGCUAAAUAUUAGAAGUUAUUGCUCCAGGAAUGAGAGAUAAUGGGACCAGCAUAUACUCAUUACCUAGUGCACAGGGAAAGUCGAUUAGCUGGCUGCCAACCUGCUAACAAAAUCAAUGUUAUUCAUACAUUUUCUGCUUAAUUAACAUUCAGAGGAAAGAAAAUGGAAAUGAUGCCAUAAAGUCCUCCAUUUGUAUUUAGGUAUGUGAACAACUUCUAUGCCAUAAAAUCUUUACGUGUCAGCCAUUCACACUUCGCAAGUCUUAUCAGUGUUCCUCGAGAGCCAAAUGCUUUGAGGUUUUGCUUCUGCUGUAAAUCAGUGGAGGAAGAAUCAUUAAGCCUAUUUGCAUAGUCACAUAUUAUUCUGAACCUGACAGAUUGCUCAGCCCAGUCAAAGCACAUUUGGGCACAUUUGGUAUUGCUUAUCAUCAAGUCUUUGGCUUCCUAAGCAAAACUAACAGAUUAACAUGUAACAUUGCAAUGGUGAUACUGGUGUUCUUGU